ACGGGUGCGUAACGCGUGGGAAUCUGCCUUCAGGUUCGGAAUAACUCCCCGAAAGGGGUGCUAAUACCGGAUGAUGUCUACGGACCAAAGAUUUAUCGCCUGAAGAUGAGCCCGCGUAGGAUUAGCUAGUUGGUGGGGUAAAGGCCCACCAAGGCGACGAUCCUUAGCUGGUCUGAGAGGAUGAUCAGCCACACUGGGACUGAGACACGGCCCAGACUCCUACGGGAGGCAGCAGUGGGGAAUAUUGGACAAUGGGCGAAAGCCUGAUCCAGCAAUGCCGCGUGAGUGAUGAAGGCCUUAGGGUUGUAAAGCUCUUUUACCCGGGAUGAUAAUGACAGUACCGGGAGAAUAAGCUCCGGCUAACUCCGUGCCAGCAGCCGCGGUAAUACGGAGGGAGCUAGCGUUAUUCGGAAUUACUGGGCGUAAAGCGCACGUAGGCGGCUUUGUAAGUCAGAGGUGAAAGCCUGGAGCUCAACUCCAGAACUGCCUUUGAGACUGCAUCGCUUGAAUCCAGGAGAGGUGAGUGGAAUUCCGAGUGUAGAGGUGAAAUUCGUAGA
rnacentral:rRNA from 1 species